rnacentral:rRNA from 1 species
AUGAACGCUGGCGGCGUGCCUCAUACAUGCCAGUCGCGCGAACAGAUAAGGAGCUUGCUCCUUUGACGUUAGCGGCGGACGGGUGAGUAACACGUGGGUAACCUACCUAUAAGACUGGGAUAACUUCGGGAAACCGGAGCUAAUACCGGAUAAUAUUUCGAACCGCAUGGUUCGAUAGUGAAAGAUGGUUUUGCUAUCACUUAUAGAUGGACCCGCGCCGUAUUAGCUAGUUGGUAAGGUAACGGCUUACCAAGGCGACGAUACGUAGCCGACCUGAGAGGGUGAUCGGCCACACUGGAACUGAGACACGGUCCAGACUCCUACGGGAGGCAGCAGUAGGGAAUCUUCCGCAAUGGGCGAAAGCCUGACGGAGCAACGCCGCGUGAGUGAUGAAGGUCUUCGGAUCGUAAAACUCUGUUAUUAGGGAAGAACAUACGUGUAAGUAACUGUGCACGUCUUGACGGUACCUAAUCAGAAAGCCACGGCUAACUACGUG